GACGAACGCUGGCGGCGUGCUUAACACAUGCAAGUCGAACGGAGUGGCGAACGGGUGAGUAACACGUGGGUGAUCUGCCUUGCACUUCGGGAUAAGCUUGGGAAACUGGGUCUAAUACCGGAUAGUGCAAGAUGAGCUCGCGGCCUAUCAGCUUGUUGGUGGGGUAAUGGCCUACCAAGGCGUCGACGGGUAGCCGGCCUGAGAGGGUGUACGGGCACAUGGGGACUGCGAUACGGGCGAGACUGCUACGGGGGGCAGCAGUGGGGAAUAUUGCACAAUGGGCGAAAGCCUGAUGCAGAGAUGCCGGGUGGGGGAUGAAGGCCUUGGGGUUGUAAACUCCUUUCAACAGGGACGCGGUAACUGUAUAAGAAGCACCGGCUAACUACGUGCCAGCCGCCGCGGUAAUUC
rnacentral:rRNA from 1 species